ACACAACACCUAAAACACACACUAAACUCACGCAUAACACCAUUGUUGAGGAGUUGGAGCUUUUGACCUCCGAUUUGAGCACCGAGACGAGCGCCGAUCAUCUUUUCGAUCACGUAUCUAAGUAGGUCCUUUUGGGAAGUAACGACUUGAGGGAGAGAGUGACGUUACUCAUUGAUACAGAGACACAACGAGGUUGAGCUGAUGUGAUGAUGGUGCUGCAAUGAGCGGAGUCUCCAGGGUUGUUAAUAAAUAGUUAACCUGUCUAGAAUAUGUCUUCAUACAUAUGUCUAGCUACUUUCCGCUGCAAGAUGUUGUUGAUGUUAUAGUAUGUUAUGUCAUACUUUGAGUCUUAAGAGAAUGGUUUCAUACGAUGUAUAACUUGAUUAAUGAUAUUAAUUAAGUUUUAUGCUGUCUUUCA